GUGUCAGCAGCCGCGGUAAAACGUAGGUCCCGAGCGUUGUUCGGAUUCACUGGGUGUAAAGGGCGCGUAGGUGGUUGUCUGUGUCUCAUGUGAAAACUCAGGGCUCAACUCUGAGAUUGCGUGGGAAACUAGGCAGCUAGAGGAUGGUAGAGGGGAGUGGAAUUCCCGGUGUAGCGGUAAAAUGCGUAGAUAUCGGGAGGAACACCGGUGGCGAAGGCGGCUUCCUGGUCUGCACCUGACGCUGAGAGGCGAAAGCUAGGGGAGCGAACCGGAUUAGAUACCCGGGUAGUCCUAGCCGUAAACGAUGGGUGCUAGGUGUUGGGGGGUAAAGACCCUUCAGUGCCGAAGCCAACGCGAUAAGCAUCCCACCUGGGGAGUACGGCCGCAAGGUUGAAACUCAAAUGAAUUGGCGG
rnacentral:rRNA from 1 species